rnacentral:lncRNA from 10 species
GCCGGCGUUCGCGAGCGGGGGCGCGGACGCGGGCGCGCGCUCGCCACUUUCCCGACCGCGUCCGAAGACCGCCGAGGCCUCCCGCAGCUCCGCGGUGACACCCGGUUCCUCUACUUGGCUCUCCUCCAAAGGUACGCGGCCACAGCAGGCAGGGGCUUGGCAGUGUGGGAGGAGACACCACAGAAGACAGGGAAGAACUACCAGGCCUUGGUUCAUCUCCACACUGGCGAGAGAGGACGUGCAGUUACCUGCUACCUGUUCGACUCAGUCUUUUACGUUGGAGUAACUUAACACAUUGCUGCCCUUAACUUUGACUUACUUGCUUUUAAAGAUGAUGAAGCUGGCCAGGCGCCGUGACUCAUACCUAUAAUCCCAGCAUUUUGGGAGGCCCAGGCAGGUGGAUCACGAGGUCAGCAGUUCAAGACCAGCCUGGCCAACAUGGUGAAACCCUGUCUCUACCAAAAAUACAAAAAUUAGCUGGGCGUGGUGGCGCGUGCCUAUAAUCCCAGCUACUCAGGAGGCUGAGGCAGGAGAAUCACUUGAACCCGGGAGGCAGAGGUUGCAGGGAGCCGAGAUCGCACCACUGCACUCCAGCCUGGGCAAUAGAGCAAGUCUCCAUCUAGGGAACAACAACAACAAAAAGAUUAUGAAGCCUUAGGAAGAACAGGGAUAUUCACCUGCUGCUGAGCCCCCCUCCGCUUUGAUCUUGGAAGUAUCGGCUGCCAGAUAGGGAGCUGAGACUUCAAGAAGCUAAAUAAGGUGUCCAACACCACAGAGCAU